CUGGCGGCAUGCUUUACACAUGCAAGUCGAACGGCAGCACAGGGAGCUUGCUCCCGGGUGGCGAGUGGCGCACGGGUGAGUAAUACAUCGGAACGUGUCCUGUUGUGGGGGAUAACUGCUCGAAAGGGUGGCUAAUACCGCAUGAGACCUGAGGGUGAAAGCGGGGGAUCGCAAGACCUCGCGCAAUUGGAGCGGCCGAUGCCCGAUUAGCUAGUUGGUGAGGUAAAGGUUCACCAAGGCGACGAUCGGUAGCUGGUCUGAGAGGACGACCAGCCACACUGGGACUGAGACACGGCCCAGACUCCUACGGGAGGCAGCAGUGGGGAAUUUUGCACAAUGGGCGCAAGCCUGAUGCAGCCAUGCCGCGUGUGUGAAGAAGGCCUUCGGGUUGUAAAGCACUUUCAGCGGGGAGGAAGGCGUUAAGGUUAAUAACCUUGGCGAUUGACGUUACCCGCAGAAGAAGCACCGGCUAACUCCGUG
rnacentral:rRNA from 1 species